CAUGCCAUGUUUUUUGCACAAAGAUUGCUGCAACGUCAGAAAUCCACCAUGUGUGUCAUGUUGUAUAAUUUCUUGUAAUUGUUUCCAGAACUACUCAUGUUUCAGCAGCAGUUUAGUAAAUAGACUGUUUUUCCACACUGCAGAGCUACGAAAUGAUCAGAAGAUUAAGACAGAAAAAAUAGACCAAAAUAUUCAAGUUCUGCAUUCAGCUAGGCUUGCAUCUACAACACCUUCUGUCAAAGACUCAGACCCAUCUUAUGCAAAUUUCCAUGAUGAAGAAUGGGGAAUUCCAGUACAUGAUGACAAGUAAGUUGCCAGAUUGUUUUUCAGUGUUUGUUGUGGAGCUUUGGCCGAACUCACUUGGCCUUCCAUUUAGCAAAAGACAUAUAUUCAGAGAAGUAUUUGCAGAUUUUGAUCCUAUAGCAGUGGCAAAAUUGAAUGAAGAGAAGACUUUAGCACCUCGAAAUACAGCAUGCUCACUGUUUUCAUAGCUUUAACUGCGAGCAGUCAUUGAAAAUGCUUGUCAAGUGUCGAAGAUAUAUCCUUUGCUCUUUAUUCAGUUAACUUCUGUAAAUACCUACCUGGACUAUAUUUGCAUGUGCAAUGGCUAUUAAAACUGUUAUAGAAUCAAAGACAUCUAGCUGUUAAAGUAUUUCAUUAGUUAUUGCAACUAAAUUUGUGCAGGUUUUGCUUGUGUCGGAUUUGGGUCAUUUGACAAGUAUAUCUGGAGCUUAUGAACCACAAGCCUAUAGUUGGCAGAUUCCGGUAUCCUCAAGUUCAGUAAAAACCUAGUUCGGAGAGGUUUCCAGGGCGUGGGACCCACUAUUGUCUGUUCCUUCAUGAACAAAUGACCAUCUUAUUAGCUGCUUCAGAUUUCAUGACUGUGUGGCAGUUGCUGAAGGAAAACAGAAGGAUCUAAAUGAAGAUAAUAAUACUGAGGCAGCAAAAACCAAUGAAGCCAUUGAAGCAGAGAUGUGUAGAUCGACCGAUGACCUGAGUUUCUCAUUGGUGGGAUCGAGUCAUUGUGCAUUUUAAUGAGACAAUUCAGAGCUUACUUGUAACAUCUGGUUAUCAUCUAAGCUCACACAGAUUUAGUAGCAGAACUGGUUAUACAAAGAUGAGGUCGAUUCCUGUGCAUCAUAGAUUCUUAUAGCCCGUUUGGCCAAGCUGCAAAAAUCAGCUUAUUUUGAGAAGUGCUUUUCUCAAA